rnacentral:rRNA from 1 species
CUACGGGGUGCAGCAGUCGAGGAAAUUUUACAAUGCUCGAAAGAGUGAUAGAGUAAGCCAGAGUGUUUCUCUUUGAGAAACUUUUGUUUGCUGUAAAAAGAAAGACGAAUAAGGACUGGGCAAGACCGGUGCCAGCCGCCGCGGUAAUCCCGGCGGUCCAAGUUGCAUCCAUUUUUAUUGGGUCUAAAACAUUCGUAGCUUGUUUAGAAAGUCUCUUGUAAAAUCUUAUAUCUCAAGUAUAAGGCUAGCAAGAGAUACUUCUAUACUAGAGACCGGAAGACGCAAAGAGUACGAUUGAGGUAGCGGUAAAAUGUGUUAAUCUUUAUCGGACUAACAAUGGCGAAGGCACUUUGCGAGUACGGAUCUGACAGUGAGGGAUGAAGGCUAGGGUCGCGAAAGGGAUUAGAUACCCUGGUAGUC